AACGAACGCUGGCGGCAUGCCUAACACAUGCAAGUCGAACGAGACCUUCGGGUCUAGUGGCGCACGGGUGCGUAACGCGUGGGAAUCUACCCUUGGGUUCGGAAUAACAGUUAGAAAUGACUGCUAAUACCGGAUGAUGACGUAAGUCCAAAGAUUUAUCGCCCAAGGAUGAGCCCGCGUAAGAUUAGCUUGUUGGUGGGGUAAUGGCCUACCAAGGCGACGAUCUUUAGCUGGUCUGAGAGGAUGAUCAGCCACACUGGGACUGAGACACGGCCCAGACUCCUACGGGAGGCAGCAGUGGGGAAUAUUGGACAAUGGGCGAAAGCCUGAUCCAGCAAUGCCGCGCGAGUGAUGAAGGCCUUAGGGUUGUAAAGCUCUUUUACCAGGGAUGAUAAUGACAGUACCUGGAGAAUAAGCUCCGGCUAACUCCGUGCCAGCAGCCGCGGUAA
rnacentral:rRNA from 1 species